AUUGAACGCUGGCGGCAUGCCUUACACAUGCAAGUCGAACGGCAGCACGGGAGCAAUCCUGGUGGCGAGUGGCGAACGGGUGAGUAAUAUAUCGGAACGUGCCCAGUCUGGGGGAUAACGUAGCGAAAGCUACGCUAAUACCGCAUACGAUCUAUGGAUGAAAGCGGGGGAUCGCAAGACCUCGCGCGAUUGGAGCGGCCGAUAUCAGAUUAGGUAGUUGGUGAGGUAAAGGCUCGCCAAGCCGACGAUCUGUAGCUGGUCUGAGAGGACGACCAGCCACACUGGGACUGAGACACGGCCCAGACUCCUACGGGAGGCAGCAGUGGGGAAUUUUGGACAAUGGGCGCAAGCCUGAUCCAGCAAUGCCGCGUGCAGGAUGAAGGCCUCGGUUGUAACUAGCUUUGUUACGG
rnacentral:rRNA from 1 species